UUCUAGGUAGAAUUAUGAUGAUGACAUUAUCUAUCUAUUAGUCUUGACCAAAUUACGUGCCAGCUGUCGCGGUAAUACGUAGAAGACAAGUGUUAUUCAUCUUUAUUAGGUUUAAAGAGUACCAAGACGGUUAAUAAAGCCCAAAAGAAAUGAAUACGGGGGACACAUUAACUAGAGUUAUAUGAAAAGAAGCUCUAAGGUACUGUUGAGUGUAGAGAUGAAAUUUUGUGAUACCAGAUGAUUGGAACAGAUUUAUGCGAAGGCAUCUUCUUAUGUAAUAACUGACGUUGUAGGACGAAGGCUUAGGAAGUGAACAGGAUUAGGUACCCCAGUAAUCUAGGCAGAAAAUGAUGAAUGUCAUAGGUUUAAUACAGACAGGUUAAAUUGACUAUCUAAUAGUAAAUAGGUGGUAUAUUAAUCAGUCUAUUAUUGUGUCUAUAAAUGAAAGUGUAAGCAUUCCACCUCAAGAGUAAUUUGGCAACAUUGGAACUGAAAUCAUUAGACCGUUUCUGAAACCAGUAGUGAAGUAUGUUGUUUAAUUAGAUGAUACACAAAAACCUUACCACAAUAUGAAUAUAUAUAAAAUAUAUUUACAAGCGCUGCACGGCUGUCUACAGUUAAUGUCNUNAGACUUUGGUUAGCUCC
rnacentral:rRNA from 1 species